UGCAAUGCGGGAGGGAGGGGACGCUGCAGCAGACGAGAGGGUGUGGGAGCUUGGGGAGACUGGUGCAGUCUUGAAGAACCGGGGGACUUGAGAGGUCCGCAGUGUUAAAAGUGCUGAAAGGUGUGGUCCGGAUAGCUCAACUGAUCAUUCAUGUGGCCACACUCGAUGAGGGUGGUUCUAGGAACUGAACCCAAGGACUGAUUCGAGCGUGGCAAGUACUUUAUCACUAGAACUCACUGUGUAGCCCAGGCUGGCCCUAAGCUGUUGACAUUCCUACGUGAAACUUUCAACUACUGGAAUUACAGGAAGAGGGAGCAUGUCCUCCUUGUCAUACUACUGAAAUCACUCAGGCAUAGCCCCAUGAUCCACUGGCGAAACAGAAGAGGUAAUACAAGACAGAGAGCAAUGCCACCACUACCUCCCUUAUGUCUGGCUGAGUCAUCCCUGGUCAAGUGGGUACCAUCUGGUGGAAAGUAGGAGGGUCAACUGCACACUUUUAAUCUCGGUUUCUUAAAAGGCUGCAGCAGGAUAAGUUUGAGACCAGCCUAGGCAGUAUAGUGAGUACCUGUUCCUCAAAGUGAAGGGGUGGUGGUGAAAUGGGUCCUUUAUAGAAACAAGCACUAUCAGGGAGGGAGAACCCCACCCACCAUGACUUUUUUUUUUGUUGUUGUUGUUUGAGACAGGGUUUCUUUGUAUUGUUUUGGAGGCUGUCCUGGAACUUGCUCUGUAGACCAGGCUGUCCUCGAACUCACAGAGAUCCUCCUGCCUCUGCCUCCCAAGUGCUGGGAUUAAAGGUGUGCGCCACCAACGCCCGGCCCGUGACUUGUUUUUUAUUCUAUUGGUCAAAGCCAGGUUCAAUUCUGAAGGAGGCUAGGAAGGCAAGGGUUGGGAGAGGAAGGGUUUGUUCUAAUUUACCCCUGGGAACCAGCACUGAGUACUUUUCUCGCAUCUGGGAAGAAUGGAAGAGGGAUCAUCUUAGACCUUUGCCGUGGCUUAGAUCUUGAACGCCCCCAGACACCGCUAUGUUGAAGGCAUGAUCCCCAGCACUGCACCAUUGCAUAACAGUGGAGUUUUUAGGAGUUAGGAACUCAUGGAAGGAAAUCUCGGUCACUGGGACAUGUCUUUGAAGUGGAUACUGGGAUAUGGCCCCUUGUCUUCCUGUCAUUCCCUUCCUGGCUGCCAUGAGCUAGUUCUGCUAGGCCUCCAAGCUGAUGCUUGGAAGCAGUUGCAUCACCAAAAAGAUCACCCCAGUAUAGGAGAAGUCCCACAGAAGCUGGGUAUGUGGAGUUCCCUUGCCCACUUUACAUGUACACCCCACCACACACACACACACACACACACACACUCUCUCUCUCUCUAAAUAAAUAAAUAAAUAAAUAAAUGUUUAACAAUAUAAAAGAUAAAAUAUAGUUCAAGUAAAACACACUGGCCCAGGAAAUGGUUCAGCAGUCAAAAACUCUGCUGCACAGGUGUGACAACAUCAAAGCUGGACCUGGCAGUAUACACCUGAAAGUCCAGUGUGGGAGCAGGAAUUGGGGAAGAAGUAUCCCUGGAGCUCUCGGGUAGCCAUUCUAACUGAUCUAUGAGUUCUAGGUUCAGUGAGAGACCAUACCUAAAAGCAUAAGGUGAUAGAGCUGGAGAGAUGACUCAAUGGUUCUCCACACCUAUAUCUGGCAGUAAUUAACUGCCUGUUAAUGCCAGCUACAGGGGAUCCGACACCUCUGACCUCCAAGGGCACCUGCAUUCAUGUGUGUAUACCCACACAGAGACACAUGCAUACACAGGAUUUAAAGAUAAAAAAUAAGUAAAAAGAAAGGUAAA